UUUCGGCCUAAAGUUGACAUCGACACAAAUCAUUAGUCAACUAACUUAUUUCGUCCUUUUGAAUAAGUUUUACUUACGAAAGUUUCACUUGAACCUUCAGUCUCUUCGAGUCGUUCAGAAAGGCUCAUCAAUUGAACAGUUAAAUCAGAUUUCUCUCGUUCGAUCUGAAAUUUAGCAAAGAAAAUAACGAUAAUUUUUAAUUGGUGGAAAAUGAUUCGUCAUUAGUCAUAAUCUAUACUGGAAUCAAUCAAAAAAUCAUAUUUUGUUUUUGGUGAAGAAAUGAUUGUCUUGUCAUAUUGGUUUGUCAAAGAAGCUUAAUUGUGAUUAAUCAAGAUGUUGUAUAAUUCAAGGAACGAUAAUUCUGGAAACUGAUAAAUAUUAUUAUACAUAUUAUAUAUUUCUGGAAUCCAAUGUCUGAACAUGGUGAAAAAAGUUACUCUCUAGGUAGUUUUACCAUCAAUCUCAAAAAAAAAGUUCAUGGGGAUUUGGAUAUUCAUUGAACCUCGAUAAUGGAUUGUAAAACUAGAUAAACUGUCACCAUUUCUGUAUUUAGGUUAAUCAUUGGUAGAGGUGAUGAUGAUGAUAGAUAAACUUGGAAAAUCAUAAUCACUUACUGAUAUUGGAUAAGAUGAGGUUAUCAUGACGAUUAUGUUAACCUUGGUUUCAAGAUGUAAUAACUUGCUGAUGAAUUUUAUAUUUCUGGACCCAAAAAUUUACUCAUAAUUUUCAAGUUAAUUUUCUGUUAAGAAAAUUGAAAGCUAGAGAUUGAUUUUUUCCAUUGAAAUUUCUCUCUCUCUCUCUUUUCGAGGAUUUCAUCACGAUUAUUGGCCCACUAUCUGUUAUAUCAACAAGUUUUCUUUUCGUUUUUGAAUCAACAACUGAUUCUCAUUGAGAAAACUAAACAUUGAUUGUUGGUUAAUCUAUUUUUGGCUUUAUCCUCAUCUGGUACUUGAUCUAUGAUUUCUGAUGAUGCUGAUAAAUACUACGAUUAAUGUUUCAAUUUCAAGGGCUAUGAUAAAUUUUUUUUCUCAUCGAAACAUAACUUAACAGAUGAAAUGAGAUUAUCACUAAUCUGGAAAAUGAUGAUUUAAACAACAAGGAGAACUAAUCAAAUUCGCAAAUAAUUUGAGAGACAAAUGAAUCUAAAGUGUAUCCAAGCGAAGAUGAAAUUCGACGAUUUCCUUUUUUUCGCUUUCAUAUUUUAGUUCGAAACAAUGUUCCCAAUCAAUUGGAAAUAUGAAUUCGAUUAGUGUUUGAAAAAUUUUCGCUGAAAGCUAAGGAUUUACUGAAUAGAAAAUAACCUAAGAUUAGAAUUACGAGAGAGAGAGAGAGAUGAUGAUGAUGAUGAUGAUGAUGACGAUAGAAGAGAAAGAGAGAAAUUGCUCUUUCUUCAACUAACUGAACUUUUCUUCGCUAUUUUUGGUCGUAUAACUUUUUCUCCUCUUUCAUUUAUUACUCAUACGAUUUCUCUUUCUUUUCUUUCUUUAUCAUCAUGUAAAUAGAAUGUUUUUCUCUUUAUCCAAGUUCCUAACGAAUCGAGAGCCAAGUCAACGAAAAGAAUAGGAAAGAGACAUGAUACUGAGAAAUUCCCCUGCUAUUGGAAUCUUUAUAUUUCUCUCCCUCUCCCUCUUUCUCUCUCUUUUUCUCUUUCUAAUUUAUAUACCAUAUAUUUCAAUGGAUCAAGUUAUCAUCGUAACUAAGAUAGUCAUAAUUUUUUCGAACUCAACAUUUUGACUCGAAAAAACUUCUACCCUGAAAUGGUUCAUAAAGUUAGUUCCUGGCUUCUGAAACUAAGAAUUCCUGUCUAAUAAUUUCCGAUAAUAUUUCUAUUCACAACUAAAUUCAGGAAGAGAAAUCAACAAAUCUUAAGAAUCAUUAAUCUCUCGAUGAUGAGACUGAACUAAUAUCUGACCCAUGGAUAAUUAAUAAUUAGCUGUUAAUCCAUUAAUGAAUUACUUAUGGAUCUUUGAUUCUGAUCAGUCUGGACUCAAAGAUGAAAAUAAUUGUUACAAUUUGACAAUUUAACUACUUAGUAACCUUCUCCUCUUUCUCUCUCUACUGUGGAUCUAUUUUGGGAUUAUCCAAGUCUCUCCCACUUGACUCACACCAUAAUCAUCAUCAUCUUAAUCAUUACCAUCCUCAACAACAACAUUGGAAUCAGCAGAAUAAGCAACAAAAACAAACUACAAUCAAGCACAGAAAUGAAGUCAAGGAAUUUUAAGGAAAUGAAGGUUACACCAUGAAGUAGCUCCUUAAGUUGAAAUAAGAACCGUAAAUGAUUUACAAUCAACACUAGUGGAAAUUAGGAUAAUCUAAGAGAUUAUCCGAAUUUGGGAUGAAAUGAUUCAAAUAUCCGAUAGUUUUUUUCUUUGAUUUUAUCCGUAUAGUUGAAGGUUAACAAUUUUCGACAUGAUUGAAUGUUCAUUUCUUACCCUUUGUCUGAGUUCCCGUUCACUUUCCAAAUCUUCAUGAAGAAGUCGGAUUUUAUCCUGGAGAAAGUAAAGAAAAAGUUAAAAUCAAUUAAUCGUUGAAAUUAUGAGAUCGCUUUUGGUUUUAUGGCAAAACUUGAAAUCAUUUGAUUAUGGAAAAGCCAAUUCGAGGAGGAUAAUCAAUUUAAUUAAUCAACUUACCUCGAGCCUAGUAAGGGCUCCGAUAUCUGUUCCAUAUUCAAGAUCCAAAUGACCACCACCACCGGAUGAUUUGUACAUAUAUUUAGUUGACCUAACGGUUGAGGAACUCAUGAUUGUUGAUUAUUUUGAUAUGAUGAUACAAGUUAAUUAACUUUUUUUCUGCGUUUUGAGUUAAUUGCGUCAAAAACAAACAAACGAACAAAAAAACAAAGAAACUGUUGAUUUGCUUGGAAAAUGACCAAAGCAAUAGAAAGCAAAUGAACAAGGAUACAAAGAGUCCACAAGUAUAUUGUUGAUGGUGUUGUUGAU